GCUUAUGUUGUUGCUUGGCUUUUGAUGACUCCAUGUUCUUUCUUUAAACUGCUUUAAAACAUUUGUGUUGGCUUUUUAAUUUCUGUUCUUUGUGUAAUGAGUUUCCUUGUCUUUUUCCUGAAUUGGAUUGACAUUUUCUUGACCUCUUCCCGUGCAUGAGUGUAUUGUAACUGUCAAAAUCAUCCAAAAAACAAAAGGAGAAGCCUUGGUUGAUGAGUGGUUGUUAACUCUCCGAACGAUUGUCUCUAGUUUGGGGAGAGCGUGUUGUGUUGUGGGGCUCUAAUCGUGAUCAGUGAGUAUUUCAUGUUUACCUGUUCAUCCCAUGUGCCCUGGUUCUCCAUGACUUUUGGUUCCUUGAUUAAAGCUUUAUAUCAUUUUGGUAAAAGCAAGUAACUCAUGCUAUUCUUACCCAGACCAAACGCCAACUAGCUUUGCUUUGAAAAUAUUUAUUACUUGCUGACCAUCUGAACAUCUUUAUUUGAAAUUUAAAGUCCAUUAACUCUAUGCAUCAGAGCUGUGAGGAAACCUCACAAACUUUAAGCUGAAACCUGUGUGUGUGUGUGUGCGCGUGUGCGUGUGUGUCGGUCCAUACAGAAGUGACUAAAACUGUAAUUGAUCGACCGGCCGCUUGAGGCUGGCUGCAAAAGGGAGUCAAUCCCAUAGACUCCCCAUGUUAAAAUACCCAACUUUACAGCAGGAAAAAAUAUGUUUACAGCCUGGUGCAAAAAAAUAUUCUGGUCUAAAUAACUAAUUUUGCCCUUCAUGACAACUGUGAAGGGGGUGAAUUUUU